ensembl:misc_RNA
CGCUGAGUAUCUUCAGGAAAAAUGAGUUCCAUAAGAAGUGGCAUCCUCCUCCAAUGGGAAG